AGUAGGGAAUCUUCCACAAUGGGUGCAAACCUGAUGGAGCAAUGCCGCGUGAAUGAAGAAGGUCUUCGGAUCGUAAAGUUCUGUUAUUAGAGAAGAACAAGUCAAGGAGUAACUGCCUUGACUUUGACGGUACCUAACCAGAAAGUCACGGCUAACUACGUGCCAGCAGCCGCGGUAAUACGUAGGUGACAAGCGUUGUCCGGAAUUAUUGGGCGUAAAGGGAGCGCAGGCGGUUGGAAUAGUCUGAUGUGAAAGCCCACGGCUUAACCGUGGAAGGUCAUUGGAAACUGUCCAACUUGAAUGCAGAAGAGGUAAGUGGAAUUCCAUGUGUAGCGGUGAAAUGCGUAGAUAUAUGGAGGAACACCAGUGGCGAAGGCGACUUACUGGUCUGUGAUUGACGCUGAGGCUCGAAAGCGUGGGUAGCGAACAGGAUUAGAUACCCUGGUAGUCCACGCCGUAAACGAUGAGUGCUAAGUGUUGGAGGGUUUCCGCCCUUCAGUGCUGGAGUUAACGCAUUAAGCACUCCGCCUGGGGAGUACGACCGCAAGGUUGACACUCAAAGGAAUUGACGGGGACCCGCACAAGCGGUGGAGCAUGUGGUUUAAUUCGAAGCAACGCGAAGAACCUUACCAGCUCUUGACAUCUUCUGCCAACCCUAGAGAUAGGGCGUUCCCUUCGGGGACAGAAUGACAGGUGGUGCAUGGUUGUCGUCAGCUCGUGUCGUGAGAUGUUGGGUUAAGUCCCAUAACGAGCGCAACCCUUAUUGUUAGUUGCCAGCAUUCAGUUGGGCACUCUAGCGAGACUGCCGGUGAUAAACCGGAGGAAGGUGGGGAUGACGUCAAAUCAUCAUGCCCCUUAUGAGCUGGGCUACACACGUGCUACAAUGGACGGUACAACGAGUUGCGAGGCCGCAAGGCUUAGCGCAAUCUUUAUAAGCCGUUCUCAGUUCGGAUUGCUCUCUGCAACUCGAGAGCAUGAAGCCGGAAUCGCAUAGUAAUCGCGGAUCAGAAUGCCGCGGUGAAUACGUUCCCGGGUCUUGUACACACCGCCCGUCACACCACGAGAGUCCGUAACACCCGAAGCCGGUGGGGCAACCAUUAGGGGAG
rnacentral:rRNA from 1 species